rnacentral:rRNA from 1 species
UACGUAGGCAGCGAGCGUUGUUCGGAGUUACUGGGCGUAAAGCGUGCGUAGGCGGUUUUCUAAGUUUGGUGUGAAAUCUCCCGGCUCAACUGGGAGGGUGCGCCGAAGACUGGGAGACUGGAGUGUGGGAGAGGUAGGCGGAAUUCCUGGUGUAGCGGUGAAAUGCGUAGAUAUCAGGAGGAACACCUGUGGUGUAGACGGCUUACUGGACCAUGACUGACGCUGAGGCACGAAAGCGUGGGGAGCAAACAGG